rnacentral:rRNA from 1 species
UACGAAGGGGGCUAGCGUUGCUCGGAAUCACUGGGCGUAAAGCGCACGUAGGCGGAUCUUUAAGUCAGGGGUGAAGUCCUGGAGCUCAACUCCAGAACUGCCUUUGAUACUGGGGAUCUCGAGUCCGGGAGAGGUGAGUGGAACUCCGAGUGUAGAGGUGAAAUUCGUAGAUAUUCGGAAGAACACCAGUGGCGAAGGCGGCUCACUGGCCCGGUACUGACGCUGAGGUGCGAAAGCGUGGGGAGCAAACAGG